ensembl:snRNA U6 U6 spliceosomal RNA
GUGCUCACUUCGGCAGCAUAUAUACUAAAAUUGGAACAGUACAGAGAAGAUUAGCAUGGCCCCCGAAUAA